rnacentral:ncRNA from 1 species
AGGAGCAAAGAUAAAAACACAACGCGAGGUAAUCUUGUAGAACUGGUAGGUAGUCCAGUCGCACCGAUUUGGUGUAAGUAGCCCUCCCUCCUUGGGUCGUCCGUUCUUUGUGCAUUACAA